rnacentral:rRNA from 1 species
UACGUAGGGGGCGAGCGUUGUCCGAAUUUAUUGGGCGUAAAGAGCUCGUAGGCGGCUUGGCAAGUCGGGUGUGAAACCUCCAGGCUCAACCUGGAGACGCCACUCGAUACUGCUAUGGCUAGAGUCCGGUAGGGGACCACGGAAUUCCUGGUGUAGCGGUGAAAUGCGCAGAUAUCAGGAGGAACACCGGUGGCGAAGGCGGUGGUCUGGGCCGGCACUGACGCUGAGGAGCGAAAGCCAGGGGAGCGAACGGG